rnacentral:sRNA from 1 species
AUUGGUGACCACAGCUGGCGGCGUGGAGGAAGACCUCAUCAAGUGCCUGGCGCCCACAUACUUGGGCGAGUUUAGCCUCAGGGGGAAGGAGCUCCGGGAGAACGGGAUCAAUAGGAUCGGAAACCUGCUGGUGCCCAAUGACAAUUACUGCAAGUUUGAGGACUGGCUGAUGCCCAUUCUGGACCAGAUGGUGAUGGAGCAGAACACAGAGGUGGGGCUGGGGCAACCUGGAGCGGCCAGUCCAGUGGGAGUCAGGGGAGGCAUGGCCUGAAGCUCACAUCCUCUCCUAGGGUGUAAAGUGGACGCCUUCUAAGAUGAUCGCCCGGCUGGGCAAGGAGAUCAACAACCCAGAGUCCGUGUAUUACUGGGCCCAGAAGUCCCGCACUUACAGACGGCUCGCUGGGCGACAUGAUCUUCUUCCAUUCCUACAAGAACCCGGGCCUGGUCCUGGACAUCGUUGAGGGUGAGGCGCUAGGGCCACAGAGGAGAGGGGAAGGAGGGCUGGCUGAGUCCAAGGCCUGACUUCGGCCCUCUUCCCCCAGACCUGAGGCUCAUCAACACACAGGCCAUCUUUGCCAAGUGCACUGGGAUGAUCAUUCUGGGCGGGGGCGUGGUCAAGCACCACAUUGCCAAUGCCAACCUCAUGGUGAGUGGGGGUGGCGCU